rnacentral:lncRNA from 1 species
GACAGUGCUCACCGGCUACAUAUGUGCUAUUCCCUUUUAUAUCAUAGCGUGCCUUGAAAUUUAAUUUCAGCCAUGUGACUAGUUCUAGCCAAUGGCCUGUGAGCAGAAGUGAUGUAUGUUUUGUCUAGACUGAGAUAGUUAAGAGCUAGUGUGUUUUUCCGCUCCUCCUUCUUCCACCUUUAGCGCAGUCUUGUAGGCCACGUGUUCCAGAUGGCCCAGCUACAAGGCAGAAGAUCCUCCACCAGCCUGCAGCCCUAAGUGAUGAUGUGAAACAGGCAUGUAGCAUGAACAAGAAGUAACCUUUGUUGUGCUGCAGGAUACAUCAGCUCAGCCCAGUUCUUUAAAUCGCAGUCUGGCCAGAACUCCAGCCCUCCCACUCCACUUAAGUCGUCUAUAAAUGCAGACUGUGACUGCCCACCAGGCCCUUCCUUGGCCUGCUGCAUUUUCUCCUGACUUGCUUCUGCUCAAAUGCCAUACCCCACCAGGUUACCAAUGCUUGGCUCCAUCUCUACUUCAUAAAUCUGCUUCUUCUCCUUUGGUCUUGGCAUUUGCACUCUACCUCUUUGGUGGCUUGAGGCUUUCCUGUAGACUAGCAUGGAUUCGGCUCACUCCCCUCAGAUGGUGCCCCACCCAGCCCUGCCUGGCCAGCUCAGGAAGGAGGUAGGGGGAAAAUGCCACCCUCAGGUUUCCCUGCAGACCCCCCACUCUCUUUCAUUACUCCUCCUUCUCAUGCUCCCUCUAUUGUACAUGCUGCAUUGAGUGGGUGCUUGGGGGGGUCUAGGUGGUCUCAGCCCUCAGCUUGGCAUAAUGAGGGCUUUCUGCAGCCCCGUUGGGAGGCCAAGGUGGGGUGUAGACAUAGUGCUGCUGCCACCAACAUUUUCACAGCUUGGAAACAAUCUGUAUUCUUGGGACUUUCCCUUAAGGGGGAGUGUGGGAAUACAUAUGAUUUGUAAUGUCAACAAUAUACACUGACAGGAUGUGAAUGAAUAAAAGAUGAACAAAUAAAAGCACAGGAGUAAAUAAGCUUCCUAACUUGGCCUUGCUCUGAGCAGGGUGGGAAACUGUAGAACCAUCACGGCAGGACAGGGCAGCAGUGGCUGCUGCCUCAGCAUUCUUCCUCACCAGAGGGCUGGGCAGCCUCCCUGCCCACUCCCUCCCCCAGAGCCCCUCUGUCUUCAAGCAGACACUGCAUUAGGAGCUGCCCUCUUCACAGUGGGGCAGUCUGGUGCACAGAAAAAGCACAGGACAGAUACUAACUAGCAUCGCAACCUUGAGCAGGUCAGCAUCCCUCGCUCCUGCUUCCCUCCAGGCCUUGGUUUCCCCAUCUAUAAGUGAAAAGAUUAGACUAGGUGUCCUGAGUCCUUUAGGAAUGUGCUUUCAUAGUCCC